UACGGGGGGGGCAAGCGUUGUUCGGAAUUACUGGGCGUAAAGGGCUCGUAGGCGGCCAACUAAGUCCGACGUGAAAUUCCCGGGCUCAACCUGGGGGCUGCGUUUGAUACGUGCAGACUUGAGUUCGGAAGAGGGUCGUGGAAUUCCCAGUGUAGAGGUGAAAUUCGUAGAUAUUGGGAAGAACACCAAUGGCGAAGGCAGCACUCUGGGACGUGACUGACGCUGAGACGCGAAAGCGUGGGGAGCAAACAGG
rnacentral:rRNA from 1 species